CCUACGGGUGACAGCAGUGAGGAAUAUUGGUCAAUGGACGAGAGUCUGAACCAGCCAAGUAGCGUGAAGGAUGACUGCCCUAUGGGUUGUAAACUUCUUUUAUAUGGGAAUAAAACGUUCCACGUGUGGGAUUUUGUAUGUACCAUAUGAAUAAGGAUCGGCUAACUCCGUGCCAGCAGCCGCGGUAAUACGGAGGAUCCGAGCGUUAUCCGGAUUUAUUGGGUUUAAAGGGAGCGUAGGUGGAUUGUUAAGUCAGUUGUGAAAGUUUGCGGCUCAACCGUAAAAUUGCAGUUGAAACUGGCAGUCUUGAGUACAGUAGAGGUGGGCGGAAUUCGUGGGGUAGCGGUGAAAUGCUUAGAUAUCACGAAGAACUCCGAUUGCGAAGGCAGUUCACUGGACUGCAACUGACACUGAGGCUCGAAAGUGUGGAUAUCAAACAGGAUUAGAUACCCGGGUAGUC
rnacentral:rRNA from 1 species